rnacentral:tRNA from 1 species
AACAAGAUGGCCGAGUGGAGGCGGAAGAUUGUAGCUCUUCAUACGAGUUUGUCUCUCUUGUUA